UCUCCGUAGGUGAACCUGCGGAGGGAUCAUUACAGAGUUCAUGCCCUACCGGGUAGAUCUCCCAUCCUAUGUUAUUAUUUCUUUGUUGCUUUUGCGGUCCGUUAGUCUCCGGCCCUACUUCCGGCCCCGGCUGGUUAGUACCUUCCAGAGGAACCAAUACCCUGAAUCUUAGUGUCGUCUGAGUACUUUAUAAUAGUUAAAACUUUCAACAACGGAUCUCUUGGUUCUG
rnacentral:misc_RNA from 1 species